rnacentral:rRNA from 1 species
AAUCAACGCUGGCGGCGUGCCUCAGACAUGCAAGUCGAACGAUUAAAGCUCUCUUCGGAGAGUGUAUAGAGUGGCGCACGGGUGAGUAACACGUAAGUAAUCUACCUUUGAGUGGGGGAAUAACAAUCGGAAACGAUUGCUAAUACCGCAUAAUGCAGCGGCAUCGCAAGAUGACAGUUGUUAAAGGAGCAAUCCGCUUAAAGAGGAGCUUGCGGCAGAUUAGCUAGUUGGUAAGGUAAUGGCUUACCAAGGCUACGAUCUGUAUCCGGUCUAAGAGGACGGUCGGACACACUGACACUGAAUAACGGGUCAGACUCCUACGGGA